GGUUAAGCGACUAAGCGUACACGGUGGAUGCCCUGGCAGUCAGAGGCGAUGAAGGACGUGCUAAUCUGCGAUAAGCGUCGGUAAGGUGAUAUGAACCGUUAUAACCGGCGAUUUCCGAAUGGGGAAACCCAGUGUGUUUCGACACACUAUCAUUAACUGAAUCCAUAGGUUAAUGAGGCGAACCGGGGGAACUGAAACAUCUAAGUACCCCGAGGAAAAGAAAUCAACCGAGAUUCUCCCAGUAGCGGCGAGCGAACGGGGAGCAGCCCAGAGCCUGAAUCAGUGUGUGUGUUAGUGGAAGCGUCUGGAAAGGCGCGCGAUACAGGGUGACAGCCCCGUACACAAAAAUGCACAUGCUGUGAGCUCGAUGAGUAGGGCGGGACACGUGGUAUCCUGUCUGAAUAUGGGGGGACCAUCCUCCAAGGCUAAAUACUCCUGACUGACCGAUAGUGAACCAGUACCGUGAGGGAAAGGCGAAAAGAACCCCGGCGAGGGGAGUGAAAAAGAACCUGAAACCGUGUACGUACAAGCAGUGGGAGCACGCUUAGGCGUGUGACUGCGUACCUUUUGUAUAAUGGGUCAGCGACUUAUAUUCUGUAGCAAGGUUAACCGAAUAGGGGAGCCGAAGGGAAACCGAGUCUUAACUGGGCGUUAAGUUGCAGGGUAUAGACCCGAAACCCGGUGAUCUAGCCAUGGGCAGGUUGAAGGUUGGGUAACACUAACUGGAGGACCGAACCGACUAAUGUUGAAAAAUUAGCGGAUGACUUGUGGCUGGGGGUGAAAGGCCAAUCAAACCGGGAGAUAGCUGGUUCUCCCCGAAAGCUAUUUAGGUAGCGCCUCGUGAAUUCAUCUCCGGGGGUAGAGCACUGUUUCGGCAAGGGGGUCAUCCCGACUUACCAACCCGAUGCAAACUGCGAAUACCGGAGAAUGUUAUCACGGGAGACACACGGCGGGUGCUAACGUCCGUCGUGAAGAGGGAAACAACCCAGACCGCCAGCUAAGGUCCCAAAGUCAUGGUUAAGUGGGAAACGAUGUGGGAAGGCCCAGACAGCCAGGAUGUUGGCUUAGAAGCAGCCAUCAUUUAAAGAAAGCGUAAUAGCUCACUGGUCGAGUCGGCCUGCGCGGAAGAUGUAACGGGGCUAAACCAUGCACCGAAGCUGCGGCAGCGACGCUGAUGCGUUGUUGGGUAGGGGAGCGUUCUGUAAGCCUGCGAAGGUGUGCUGUGAGGCAUGCUGGAGGUAUCAGAAGUGCGAAUGCUGACAUAAGUAACGAUAAAGCGGGUGAAAAGCCCGCUCGCCGGAAGACCAAGGGUUCCUGUCCAACGUUAAUCGGGGCAGGGUGAGUCGACCCCUAAGGCGAGGCCGAAAGGCGUAGUCGAUGGGAAACAGGUUAAUAUUCCUGUACUUGGUGUUACUGCGAAGGGGGGACGGAGAAGGCUAUGUUGGCCGGGCGACGGUUGUCCCGGUUUAAGCGUGUAGGCUGGUUUUCCAGGCAAAUCCGGAAAAUCAAGGCUGAGGCGUGAUGACGAGGCACUACGGUGCUGAAGCAACAAAUGCCCUGCUUCCAGGAAAAGCCUCUAAGCAUCAGGUAACAUCAAAUCGUACCCCAAACCGACACAGGUGGUCAGGUAGAGAAUACCAAGGCGCUUGAGAGAACUCGGGUGAAGGAACUAGGCAAAAUGGUGCCGUAACUUCGGGAGAA
rnacentral:rRNA from 1 species